rnacentral:rRNA from 1 species
AUUGAACGCUGGCGGCAUGCUUUACACAUGCAAGUCGAACGGCAGCACGGGCUUCGGCCUGGUGGCGAGUGGCGAACGGGUGAGUAAUAUAUCGGAACGUACCCAGAAGUGGGGGAUAACGUAGCGAAAGUUACGCUAAUACCGCAUACGAUCUAUGGAUGAAAGCAGGGGACCGCAAGGCCUUGUGCUCCUGGAGCGGCCGAUAUCUGAUUAGCUAGUUGGUGAGGUAAAGGCUCACCAAGGCGACGAUCAGUAGCUGGUCUGAGAGGACGACCAGCCACAGUAGAACGGAAACGCGGCCCAAGCCCCGAGGGGGGGCAAGAAGGGGGAUUUUUGGAAGAGGGGCCAAACCCUAUUCCGAAAAGGCCGGGUGAAGAAAGAAGGCUUUCGGGUUGAAAAGCUUUUUUGUCAGGGAAGAAAGGGUAAGGAAAAAAAUCCUUUGCAAAUGAGGGUACCUAAAAAAAAGCCCCCGGCUAACAACGU